rnacentral:rRNA from 1 species
UUGUGAGGUUAAGCGACUAAGCGUACACGGUGGAUGCCCUGGCAGUCAGAGGCGAUGAAGGACGUGCUAAUCUGCGAUAAGCGUCGGUGAGGUGAUAUGAACCGUUAUAACCGGCGAUUUCCGAAUGGGGAAACCCAGUGUGUUUCGACACACUAUCAUUAACUGAAUCCAUAGGUUAAUGAGGCGAACCGGGGGAACUGAAACAUCUAAGUACCCCGAGGAAAAGAAAUCAACCGAGAUUCCCCCAGUAGCGGCGAGCGAACGGGGAGGAGCCCAGAGCCUGAAUCAGUGUGUGUGUUAGUGGAAGCGUCUGGAAAGGCGCGCGAUACAGGGUGACAGCCCCGUACACAAAAAUGCACAUAUUGUGAGCUCGAUGAGUAGGGCGGGACACGUGGUAUCCUGUCUGAAUAUGGGGGGACCAUCCUCCAAGGCUAAAUACUCCUGACUGACCGAUAGUGAACCAGUACCGUGAGGGAAAGGCGAAAAGAACCCCGGCGAGGGGAGUGAAAAAGAACCUGAAACCGUGUACGUACAAGCAGUGGGAGCCUCUUAAUGGGGUGACUGCGUACCUUUUGUAUAAUGGGUCAGCGACUUAUAUUCUGUAGCAAGGUUAACCGAAUAGGGGAGCCGAAGGGAAACCGAGUCUUAACUGGGCGUUAAGUUGCAGGGUAUAGACCCGAAACCCGGUGAUCUAGCCAUGGGCAGGUUGAAGGUUGGGUAACACUAACUGGAGGACCGAACCGACUAAUGUUGAAAAAUUAGCGGAUGACUUGUGGCUGGGGGUGAAAGGCCAAUCAAACCGGGAGAUAGCUGGUUCUCCCCGAAAGCUAUUUAGGUAGCGCCUCGUGAAUUCAUCUCCGGGGGUAGAGCACUGUUUCGGCAAGGGGGUCAUCCCGACUUACCAACCCGAUGCAAACUGCGAAUACCGGAGAAUGUUAUCACGGGAGACACACGGCGGGUGCUAACGUCCGUCGUGAAGAGGGAAACAACCCAGACCGCCAGCUAAGGUCCCAAAGUCAUGGUUAAGUGGGAAACGAUGUGGGAAGGCCCAGACAGCCAGGAUGUUGGCUUAGAAGCAGCCAUCAUUUAAAGAAAGCGUAAUAGCUCACUGGUCGAGUCGGCCUGCGCGGAAGAUGUAACGGGGCUAAACCAUGCACCGAAGCUGCGGCAGCGACGCUUAUGCGUUGUUGGGUAGGGGAGCGUUCUGUAAGCCUGUGAAGGUGUGCUGUGAGGCAUGCUGGAGGUAUCAGAAGUGCGAAUGCUGACAUAAGUAACGAUAAAGCGGGUGAAAAGCCCGCUCGCCGGAAGACCAAGGGUUCCU